CCUACGGGAGGCAGCAGUGGGGAAUCUUGGGCAAUGGGCGCAAGCCUGACCCAGCAAUGCCGCGUGAAGGAAGAAGGCUUUCGGGUUGUAAACUUCUUUGACAGGGGAAGAGCAGAAGACGGUACCCUGAAAACAAGCCACGGCUAACUACGUGCCAGCAGCCGCGGUAAUACGUAGGUGGCAAGCGUUGUCCGGAUUUACUGGGUGUAAAGGGCGUGUAGCCGGGAAGGCAAGUCAGAUGUGAAAUCUGGAGGCUCAACCUCCAAAUUGCAUUUGAAACUGUUUUUCUUGAGUACUGGAGAGGCAGACGGAAUUCCUUGUGUAGCGGUGAAAUGCGUAGAUAUAAGGAGGAACACCAGUGGCGAAGGCGGUCUGCUGGACAGCAACUGACGGUGAGGCGCGAAAGCGUGGGGAGCAAACAGGAGUAGAUACCCCAGUAGUC
rnacentral:rRNA from 1 species